GCCCCACUUGUCUAAUGGUUAUGACGUCAGACUUCUACAUUUCUUGUGCUUUUGCGACCCCAAGCGAGACUUUAAAUGGGAUCUGGAGGUUGCGAGUUCGAGUCUCGCGUGGGGUU